GCCCCAGGUUUAAAUGGUCAUUGUCAUAUUUGGAUGGGGGCUAGAAGCAGCAACAACAAGUAUGGUGUUGUGUGCUACAAGCAUCCGAUAAAGAACAGCUGGCAGAUGAUGCAUGUGCAUAGACUCAGUGUCAUGUUACAUCAUCGUCACCAUGAGUUAGAUGCAUCAAUUGUUGCAUCCCACUUGUGCCACAACACACUGUGUGUUGUACCAGGGCAUAUUGCUCUGGAGCAGCACGGUAUCAAUAACCAGCGACAGACAUGCAAAUCCGGGGGCACCUGUCUGGGGCACCCACCUCCCUAUCUUCCCUGUCGUCUGGAGCUACAUAUGGAUAACAACAAUCUUGUGUUUCAGGAGAUUUAGCUCAUCACUUCAAAGGGCUUUCACUCUGCUGUUCAGAUGACAAAUACAAUGUGACUUCAUAGGGAUGUGUAGUAUGGCUGUAGAAGUUUUUGUGCCAAGUUUCAUGAAAAUCAAAGAAGAAGCCUGGUAGGAAGGAUUUGCCGCUUGACCAGGAUCAUUGUCUGGGUCAUCCGGUCAGUGGUUACCACCUGUACUUCAAGGUCACUCUCAGAGGAGUCCCCACAGCAUCCGUAUUCCAGGCGAUGCAUUGAAAUGCUUAAACCACAUGCCCCAGGACUACAAAAGUGCUAUUAUUUAUGACUUGUGUGAUAUGGAGAGUAGAAAUGUCGGAGGAUAGAAGAAUUGUUCUCAGUUCAUCAUUACCUGCUGGUGGAGAGUUGGAGUGUCGGUGGAUAGAAGAAUUGUUCUCAGUUCAUCAUUACCUGCUGGUGGAGAGUAGAAGUGUCAUAGGAUAGAAGAAUUGUUCUCAGUUAAUCAUUACCUGCUGGUGGAGGCUGAACACUUUGAUAAACAUUACUGUUGUCUUGCUGAGAUGUAGCAAUCAGUGUGAGGUUUCAUUUACUGAAAGAAGAGUCGGAGAAGUAUUCCAUUUUCUCAUAUUGUUACAACUCCUACAGUUAUCUCCCUCAGACUAGAUAAAUCAUGUUUGUAAUCAUUAUUACAACCUAUCAUUUUGAUCUAAUGCUGUCCGACGUGUUUCAUACCGAUUGUUAGGCCAUUCUUGGCACACUGAUUUUGACUAUGGAUAAUUCCGUUUACCUGAUCAGGAUAUACGACUCACGGCGGGUGUGACCGUCGACAGGGGAUGCAUUGUCUGUGUCCGUAGUUGAAUGUCGUCUAUCCACUGUUAACAAUUGACCAUUUUAACCUCUUCUUGACAACUGACUUUCAAUUCUUUUCAAACUGGAUUUGAAGCA